rfam:Desulfotomaculum aeronauticum DSM 10349 genome assembly, contig: EJ44DRAFT_scaffold00022.22
UCCACCGUGAGGUGGAAUCUGAAGGAAGCCGGAGGCAAACUUCUGGUCUGACGAACAGAAAUCACAUCAGGCAAUGUAAGCUGGGUAAGGUUG